CCUACGGGGGGCAGCAGUAGGGAAUCUUCCACAAUGGGCGAAAGCCUGAUGGAGCACCGCCGCGUGGGUGAAGAAGGUCUUCGGAUCGUAAAACCCUGUUGUUAGAGAAGAAAGUGCGUGAGAGUAACUGUUCACGUUUCGACGGUAUCUAACCAGAAAGCCACGGCUAACUACGUGCCAGCAGCCGCGGUAAUACGUAGGUGGCAAGCGUUAUCCGGAUUUAUUGGGCGUAAAGGGAACGCAGGCGGUCUUUUAAGUCUGAUGUGAAAGCCUUCGGCUUAACCGGAGUAGUGCAUUGGAAACUGGGAGACGUGAGUGCAGAAGAGGAGAGUGGAACUCCAUGUGUAGCGGUGAAAUGCGGAGAUAUAGGGAAGAACACCAGUGGCGAAAGCGGCUCUCUGGUCUGUAACUGACGCUGAGGUUCGAAAGCGUGGGUAGCAAACAGGAUUAGAUACCCUUGUAGUC
rnacentral:rRNA from 1 species